rnacentral:lncRNA from 1 species
CAGGGGGGCGGGGUGCCAGCUGUGUGAGUGCAUCUCGGACUCUGAUGGGGCUGGGCAUCACCGGGGCAUCUUGCUGAGGUGCGCAUUUCUCAUCCAGCAGGUCUGGAGGAGAGCCUGAGAUGCUGCGUGUGUGACACGCCCCCCGUGUGACGCUGCCCCUUGUGGCCGCAGGUCCACGCCGUGAGGGGCGGAACCCUAGGAGAGGACUCUGAAGAAGCUCGGCAGGUGCAGACGUGGGACAUGGUGUUCCUGAGAGACAGGACCUUCCAGGCAGAAGCCAGGGAGGGCCCAGCCCCAGGGGUCAUUCUCACGCCUGAGGGUUUCUGGCUCAGCCCUCGUCUGUUCCUGCUUCUUUGACUCUUGGGCUGUGGGGUCGCUGUCAGUGGAGUGCUGGAAGGUAAGACGGAGAAUGAUAUUAAAGAAAAGUUUCUAGGAGGGGGUGACAUAGCUAUUCGUGUAAUG